CAGAGCUGUGGAGUGUGACAAUGGUGUUUGUGUGCAGUCUAUCAAAUGCCAUUAUCACACUAAAUAGCUACUG
rnacentral:pre_miRNA from 1 species